rnacentral:rRNA from 1 species
UACGAGAGGUCCAAACGUUAUUCGGAAUCACUGGGCUUACAGAGUUCGUAGGCGGUCCGGCAAGUGGGGUGUGAAAGCCCUCGGCUCAACCGAGGAAUUGCGCUCCAAACUACCGGGCUAGAGGAAGAUAGAGGUGAGCGGAACUGAUGGUGGAGCGGUGAAAUGCGUUGAUAUCAUCAGGAACACCGGAGGCGAAGGCGGCCCACUGGGGCUUUUCUGACGCUGAGGAACGAAAGCUAGGGGAGCAAACGGG